AUUAUUUUUCCAAAAAAAAAAACAAAAAAAAAAAUCUGUUCUUAUCAGUUUAAUAUCUGAUACGUCCCCUAUCUGGGGACCAUAUAUUAAAUUGAUUUUUGGAAUAGGGAGAUGGAAUAGGGGCUUGCUCCGUCCACUCCACGCAUCGACCUGGUAUUGCAGUACCUCCAGGAACAGGAGACAGACA